CAGCAGAAUAAAAAGAAAAAAAUGAAAGGAAGGAAAAAAAAUUUCCUCUGCUAGGGUUUCGCCUCAGUCCCUUGCGCCGCUGUCCAUCCGCCGUGGUUUCAUCGCAACCAGUGGCCGGAGGCGCGCCAAACUGGGUUUUUUAACCCUUUUUCGAGCCGAUCUGAGGGCGAGGUGUCGUGGAGCGAAUUGUGCGCGUGGGGAGGCCGAUCUCCGAGUCCUGCUGCGGCUAGAGGCUGGGGAGGUUGCUACUUGUUGCGGCUACUUGCUGCUAAGGUUUUCUGUAGUAUUGGGCUAGUUCAAUUGGGCCUACAUGUGUUGGGCCAUUCUAGGUUUAGUUGGGCCCGGGCAUUAUUGGGUUUGUACAUUACAUAUUAGAAAUUUAUGACAACAUAGAUUGUAUGAACAUAUAACAUUUGUUUAAUGCAAAUAAAUGACUGAAUAAAUUUAGAUAAA